CCACUGUGGGAGUAGGAAGCCAGACAGCAAAAGUCGUUUGGUCGUCGGGAAUUUCAAAUUCUUACCUGGCUACGGUUUAGACAUUUCAACAUUUUAGAAGACAAAACAUUAGUUAAGAAGGUAGAUUCCGUUUAUCAGUCAAAACAGUUUGGAAGAAAGUUUUCUUGCUACGAAAGAAUCAACAAUCCAGUAAGUCCUACUUGACCUACCAGAUAUACAUAAGCAACACUCAAGCUAUAAAUAACCUAAGAACUAAAAAUAACUAUGGUGUACCCGAGAAUUGCUGACGUCUUUGCUGUUGUCAUGUGUUGUCUCCUCGUGCUGCCCUCUAUAUCUUCUUACAUACUUAUCGAUGGCGUGCAACCACAAUACCACACAACUAACAAGAAGAACGAUCAACGAUCGUCAAGACGGGGAAGUGGGG